AAGAUGGGAAGACUACUGAACUUUUGUUUUCUGCUCGUAUUAUUUUAUCUGCGAUUAGUUUCCUCUGAAGAAAGCAUAAAGGUGAAUAUAAACCCAAACAGAACAAUAUUUAACUACGAAUUAGGUAAAAAGCCCAAAGAAAAUAUUACCUGUGAAUCCAACUGCUGGAAUUGCACAUACGUAUGGUAUCUCAUGUAUAAUGACACAGUAUAUCAACAUCGUUUCCAAGAAGGAAAUGUUUUAUUUUAUGAUAUAACCAUGCAGAUGAACAAUACUUUCAAGUGUGAGGUUAUUACACAAGAUCGAAAGAAAUAUAAACGCAGUGAUGUGAUUACCGUCAUUGUGAAAGAAAACAAACCGAACACUCCACCUACACACAGUGUCUCGGUGAUACAGUCGAGCACCACCACGAUGUACUCUCAGUCUACUACUGCCGCAAAGUAUGUCGAAAAUAAUGAAAGUAUUUUAAUUAUUGGUAUAUCGGGAGGGACAGUUCUUCUUCUGAUUGUGGUCUUGGUGAUAAUUCUUUGUGUGAAAAAGAAACAAUUUAAGCAGAACAAAACAUGUAAGUAGUUCAUAAGCAAUACUUCUCAGGGAAAAGACCAUAGGUUAGAAAUGGCUGAGAAUACUCUCUAUAUCUCUGCCGACAUUGUAACUGAAAAACCACAAGCAAACCCUGAACAAAACAAUACCCCUAUAAACGGAAGUGACGUUUACGCUGUCGUCAACAAGAUAAAGAAAAAUGAGAAUCACAUUCCCGUGUACGCUGAAAUCCGUAAAUCUCAGCCAGGAAAGGAAAAAACAGCAAUAAACAAGAAACCAUCGGUAGAGGAUAAAAAGCAAUCCGGACAAAAUAAAAACACCGGUGGAAUGGUUUAUUUAGAAAUUGAUUUUGACAACAUGUCGUCAAACAGAAAAACAGCCAUACAGGGAGCAGAAGACAGCACGCAGUAUGUCGACAUAAACUCAAUAAAACAUGCCGACCCACUGUUGAAGAGUGUCGAAUAAAGAAGGAUAAAGUCCUGACUUCCUUCAAAAUGGAAAGGAAUCAAAUGCGGAAUAAAUCUGCUUAAAACAUAUGCAACGCUUUGGAAAUUCAUGUUUAUAUAAUUUAUUUCAGUGUACACUUGUAAAUUUAUUAAAGUGUUUUUCUAUGAAAUUUCACAAUUAACGACAGCCUCAUAAUAUUGGACUUUUGCGAGAAGCACUGACUUUUACAGUUGACUGUUUACUUUGACAUUUAAACCUGUAUCACGUAUGGAGGUACAGAAUUGAUAAUAGAUGGGAUAAUAUUUCUAGUGGUCAUAGGUAUGGUGUUAGGGCACUAACAUGUGAAGGCCGGAAGUUAAGGGUAGGUGGUUGUCGUUUUCUUCA